UGAUAAUUAAUAACAUGGGGAUGGAUUGAUAACCAAUAACACGGGGCUGGGCUGAUAAUCAAUCACACGGGCUGGAUUGAUAACCAAUAACACAGGUCUGGGUUGAUAACCAAUAUCACAGGUCUGGGUUGAUAAUCAAUAACACGGGGCCAGAUCAAUCACUCAAUAUUGAAAUGAUUUAUUGGAUUGAUAAUCAAUCACACAGGGCUGGAUCGAUCAUCAAUAACACAGGGCUGGAUCGAUAAUCAAUAACACGGGGCGGAUUGAUAACCAAUAACACGGGGCUGGGUUGAUAAUCAAUCACACGGGGUUGGAUUGAUAACCAAUAACACGGGGUUGGAUUGAUAAUCAAUAACAUGGGGUUGGAUUGAUAAUAACAUGGGGAUGGAUUGAUAAUCAAUAACACAGGUCUGGGUUGAUAAUCAAUAACACGGGGCCAGAUCAAUCACUCAAUAUUUAAAUGAUUUAUUGGAUUGAUAAUCAAUCACACAGGGCUGGAUCGAUAAUCAAUCACACAGGGCUGGAUCGAUAAUCACACAGGGAUGGAUCGAUAAUCAAUCACACAGGGAUGGAUCGAUCAUCAAUAACACAGGGCUGGAUCAAUAAUCACACAGGGAUGGAUCAAUAAUCAAUCACACAGGGAUGGAUCGAUCAUCAAUAACAUGGGGUUGGAUUGAUAAUCAAUAACACAGGUCUGGGUUGAUAAUCAAUAACACGGGGCCAGAUCAAUCACUCAAUAUUUAAAUGAUUUAUUGGAUUGAUAAUCAAUCACACAGGGCUGGAUCGAUAAUCAAUCACGUAGGGCUGGAUUGAUAAUCAAUAAGGAGGGGCUGGUUCGAUAACCAAUCACACAGGGCUGGAUCAAUAUUUUAUAAGGG